rnacentral:rRNA from 1 species
UACGGAGGGUGCAAGCGUUAUCCGGAUUUACUGGGUUUAAAGGGUGUGUAGGCGGAUUUUUAAGUCAGAGGUGAAAUCUCCAGGCUCAACCUGGAAACUGCCCCUGAUACUAUUAGUCUUGAAUAUUGAUGAGGUGGGCGGAACGGGUCAUGUAGGCGGUGAAAUGCUUAGAGAUGACCCGGAACACCAAUUGCGAAGGCAGCUCACUGGGCAAUUUAUUGACGCUGAGGCACGGAAAGCGAUGG